rnacentral:rRNA from 1 species
CGCAGCGACGCCGCGUGGAGGAUGAAGGUCUUCGGAUUGUAAACUCCUGUUAAGUAAGAAGAAAGUUUCAUCUCUAAUAUAGGUGAAAUCUGACGGUACUACUAAAGAAAGCACUGGCUAACCUCGUGCCAGCAGCCGCGGUAAUACGAGGGGUGCAAACGUUAUUCGGAUUUACUGGGUGUAAAGGGUGUGUAGACGGGUUAUUAAGUUCGUUGUUAAAUCUUCUGGCCUAACCGGAAGCUCGCGAUGAAAACUGAUAAUCUUGAGGGUGGAAGAGAGAAGUGGAAUUCUCGGAGUAGCGGUAAAAUGCGUAGAUCUCGAGAGGAACACCGGUGGCGAAGGCAGCUUCUUGGUCCAUUUCUGACGUUGAAACACGAAAGCGUGGGGAGCAAACAGGAUUAGAUACCCUGGUAGUCCACGCUGUAAACGAUGAUCACUAGAUGUUGGUUCUGUUUUGCAGAAUUAGUAUCGAAGCUAACGCGUUAAGUGAUCCACCUGGGAACUACGAUCGCAAGAUUA